CUCUGACAGGAAGGAAUUCUGCCUUCUAAAGAUGCACAUACAAACACCAUAAAUUGCUCUGCCUGGGAAUUUUGAGGCAUGUUCUAUUUUCUAAGCCACUGGGCACUCCUGUGUGACUGCAGGAAGACUGCAUUCAUCCACAGCAGGAAAACUCACACCAAGGUGGCAGGUUGUGCUCAUGAGAAGGAGAAGCAGCAGGAAUUUAUGAUAUCGAAGCUGGGAGGAGCAGUUCUUUUGGAGAAACACACACAAGCCAUUCUAGUUUAACCCAGCCCUUCCCGGUUCCAGUGCUAAGGUAAUUUUCAUGCAAGAGGGUCCGGGUGAAGGAACAGCUGUUGCUCCCGUGUCCUCUCUGUUAUCAUCCCACUACCAGUGAUGCUUCGUAAUCGUUCCAUUGUACCGCUAUGUUUCCUAUAAAGCCGAACAAUGAAUAAUGGAUGCAAAAACUAAGUGGCGUUGCAGGUUCAUUAGUAUGCAUAUUGUUAGAAAUUCAUUUCAGUCAGUGUUGUGAAGCCACUCUCCUCUCUUUUGUAUUUUGAGGUGUUGCUGCUUCAGGCUCUGCUAAUGUUCAUUUCGUAUUCAUUCAUUUGUGCCUGUAGUUUUACCUGGAUUGUGGGCUAUUGUUCUUAUUUGCAAAGCCUGGGUUUAAUUUCCUGUGGGAAGCUUUUCUUUUGUCUCCAGGGCUCAUUCUCCUAUUAUCGUCUGCCUCGAGAGUACUAAAGCACUGUCCUGCUGGUAAAAUAUAAUUUGUUUUGUAGGGUUCUAAUGAAAUUUUUACCACUUCUGUCCUCAAAAAUAUAAAGAUCAAGAUUUUCCCACCUUUCCGUUCCAGCUGUCAGUACUGAGCGCCUCACACCUCUUCAUUCUUUUCCUGCUCCUGAACACUGGGUAUUUCAUGAGCUCCCCAGACACUAUCCUGCAAAUAACUGUGUCCUUCCCCCCACCCAUCCUCUACCAGAGGCUUUGCUGGCAAUGCUGGGUGCCUGGAGAGAAUUCUAACCAGCCAUGCGGAUAGCAUGCUGUGUAAAAGUGUUUUCUUAAAAAGUUGAGUAGAUACUGCUUUCCGCUCCGUUUCAGGCCUCCAGCCCCUCUUACUACAUCUUGCAGUUGAUCCCUUUAUUUAUAUGGCAUACAUAUUUUAUAUUUUCCUCAUUAGGCUGUUCGGUAACAACCCAUUAUCUUUCAACAAACUCAUAGUACCAAAAGCAUUCAUAUUAUUGCCCUUAUUUUUAUUUCUCUUUCAUGAUGUACUUCCUCACACAUUCAGACUUGUACUUCCUAACAACAGCAUAUCAUUAGGUCUUGCCUUCAGCUAUUGUUAACGAGGAACUGACAGAAUGCAGUAGGCGAAUCCCAAGCUUUUUUUUUUCCCCUCACUGUCCUAUCUGUAUCUGGCUGAUGGUCAUAUAGAGCUAUCUGUUCAAGUACAAAACAAACUUCGUUAACACUGGAAAAGCAAUAAUAGUGAAUUGUAGCUGUGCUCUCCCAAAACACACUGUACAAAAGAACGGUCGCCUCCAGCAGCCACCGUAAAAUGGAAUUUGCAGUGAUAAUAUUCAGUGUAUGCACAGUGCAUAUGAAGUAAUACAGUAGCAACUGAUAGCGGUUUCUCUGCACGUGAAGAGACUCUUUUACUGAAACUGUUUCUCCUCUUUGAAGGUGUAUGUAAAGCCUUCUCAACAUUACAAGCAGUACUGUUUGCUCAGGAUAAAGUAUUCAGACCAGGUUGCCGAAGAUAGGUGUUGAAAUGCAAGUAAAUGUGUUGUCUUACAUUUGGAAUC
rnacentral:lncRNA from 7 species